AGCGUCAUAGUUAAGCACGUAACCAGUCCGCAAUUCGCUGUGAGUGCAUAGGGGAGAGUGGGCAAAAUGCCACCCUACCUCAAUCUGACCAUGACUACUCUCCUGCUCAAACAGGAAGUACCAGUGAUAGGAACGUAUCCAAACCAAAAAAAUAUGGAUUACAGGCAACAUCCGUGCUGGACUAAAGGCUAGAGCUACCCCUUACAAGGAACAGGAUAUGGACAUGGGCACAUACAAGAAAUCCCGCUACGACAUCAGACGAGACAACAAAUAUGCAAAAGGCCAGUAUAGGACUAAGGUGGAAUCCUAUUACAUAUCUCCGACACUCGUCGAAUGUGGCAGGGCUUGCAGACGUUAACGGAUUACAAAAGGGAAACCCAACCAUGAGUUGCCCAGUGAUGCAGAACUCCCAAACGAGCUAAAUGGCUUUUAUGCUUGCUUCGAGGAAUAUAACACUGUGUCUUGCGUGAAAGCCUCUGUUUUUCAGAAUGACUGUGUAAUCUCGCUCUCCGUGGCCGAUAUGAGCAAAACGUUUAAAAAAGCUUAACAGUCACAAGGCCACCGUCAUUCUCAAAGCAUGCGAAGACCAGCUGGCAAGUGUCUUCAGACAUUUUCAAUCUCUCCUCGUCUCAGUCUGUAAUCCCAACAUGUUUCAAGAUGACCAUCAUUUUGUCCCUGUUCCCAAGAGCCCCAAGGAAGAAGCUUACUGAACGGUCUGAAGCAAGCAUUGAGGUGUCAGAAUUCACAGUCAAAGACAGGUAAAAGAGACAAAAAUCAAUUUGUCUAACCUCAUUGGAACAUUGGGUAAGACCCCCAGUGCCUUAAUGAAGACGAAGAAGCAGCCGAAGAACCUUCAACACAACCAGAGCACCCUGGAAACACCCCUGACCAGGAAGUAGACAGAACGGAUCCAAAGAGAAGUGGCUUUUGAGAAAACGUCAAAAGAGGUGUCCUGCUGGCAGAGUGUAGUCCUACAGAACCAGAAGGCAUAGCAGCUGGUCUUCCCACUGAACCAGGAGCCCUCUGGCCCAAAACGCAUAGAGCAGGUGGUGGCUGGAUGGACGGUUGGUGUAAAAAGUUCCUUUGUUUUAUUUCUGUUUGUGUUCCAUGAUUGUAAACAAAUUUCAGAUAUUAUGUGCUCCAGGACCCAAACCUUCCUAGAACAAGAGAUAUUCAGCCUCCUGCACAUGAACAAGCAGCCUCUCCAUGACCCUGUUCUGACACCCACUGAGGAGGCUUCUCUGAGGGCCAUGAGUCUGGAGGGAGUCCCACCUCAAGUAUCCAGCAUGGGGUCAUAUGCAUAGGAUAAGCUACAUCUGGUGUGUUAGUGCUGGGCAAGGGCAAAGACCUGCACACACUACUGCCCUUGACUUUAUUUUGUAAGUGCACUAAAAGGACAAUGUACUGGAAAAACAACAAUGAACAAAGGUUUUUCUAGAUGGUUAUUGAUGGUCUCACUUACCUACAACCAAUAUAUAAAACUAGAUUUUUUUUUUGUCAGGCUAAGAUCCGCCAUGCAGAUCUCCAAAAAGCCAGAGCUCUAUAGUUUUAUCAUGAAGCGAAAGUCAAAAGGGAAAUAAAAAUUAAAAACCGGGGCAUAUCCUUCCAAUAUAGUGUACAGUUGACCAGGGCAUAUCCUUGCAUGAGUGACUCAGCAGUAAUCCGCUUCCAAAGAUCAUCUCUUUAUUCAAGGCUCCCAAUUCACUCUCUUCCUCCAUCUGCCCUCUUUGUACAUGGUGCCGGAUUAUUAUUUUAAGCCCCUUUUCUCCCCAAUUUCGUGAUUACGAUCUUGUCUCAUCGCUGCAGCUCCUCAACGACCAAACUACAGAGGCAUGCUUUUGGCGGCCCGAUCGGCAGCCAGCAGCCAUGCUUUAGGAAGUUGGCAACUUGUCCUACAGAUUCCAAAUUCCUGCAGGUACGUUAUUUGCUUCCUGUGUGAACUCAGCCCAAAUGUUCAGGGAAUGCGCAAGGUGUCAUCACCCAUGCCCCAAUACUAACUUGAAGGACAACACUACUGUGUUUACCUGGAUGCAUGCCACCCAACACCACCAGCACAGUUUAAUUUAUGUCAGAACUUAAGAACACCAAAUCUAAUAUUUCAACCUUUGUGAAUCUAUGAAAAUAGAUGAUCCAUUUUUGUCUGCACUUAUUACACAAAUGAUAUGAAAUGUCAUUGAAUGUAAUGUAUGAUAAGAAUUCAAAGAAAAUAAAUACAUUUACCAUUAAAUGAUAAUGAUAUGACAAAUUAUAACAAGUGUGUAUAUAAAUCUGUUUCCCCUCACACAGCUUGAAUAACAGCACUGAAAGGCAAGCUUUCAUUAAUCUGCAUUGCCCUUUUUUCAGAGCCAGUGGAGGCUCCUCAGAGGAGGAAGGGGAGGAUCAUCCUCCUCAGUGAAAUUUCAUAAAAAUAGCGAAACAUUAAAAACUAACCUAUAUUCAUAUACAUAUAUUCAUAUGUCACCAAAUAAUUGGUUAAAAUAGAACAGCAGUGUCUGGGCUAGCACCAUGGUGUGGCUGUAGGACAGCUAGCUUCCGUCCUCCUCUGGCGACAUUGACUUCAAUACAAAACCUAGGAGGCUGGUAGGCCUCACCC